rfam:Brachypodium distachyon strain Bd21 chromosome 1, whole genome shotgun sequence.
CAAAUACUCCCUCCGUCCAAAAAGGAUGUCUUAACUCGAUCAAAUUUGAAUGCAUCUAUACGCUAAGUCAUGUCUAGAUACAUCCAAAUUUUGACAAACUUGAGACAUCUUUUGUUGGACGGAGGGAGUAGCAU